AGAGUUUGAUCCUGGCUCAGGAUGAACGCUAGCGGCAGGCUUAAUACAUGCAAGUCGUGGGGCAGCAGGGGUAGCAAUACCCGCUGGCGACCGGCAAACGGGUGAGGAACAUGUACGCAACCUACCUUUAACUGGAGGAUAGCCCCUCGAAAGAGGGAUUAAUACUCCGUAACAUAAUGAAGUGGCAUCGCUUUGUUAUUAUAGCUCCGGCGGUUAAAGAUGGGCGUGCAGCUGAUUAGGCAGUUGGCGGGGUAACGGCCCACCAAACCUACGAUCAGUAACUGGUGUGAGAGCACGACCAGUCACACGGGCACUGAGACACGGGCCCGACUCCUACGGGAGGCAGCAGUAAGGAAUAUUGGUCAAUGGAGGCAACUCUGAACCAGCCAUGCCGCGUGAAGGAUUAAGGCCCUCUGGGUUGUAAACUUCUUUUAUAUGGGAAGAAAUGUUCUGAUUCUUCAGAGCUUGACGGUACCAUAGGAAUAAGCACCGGCUAACUCCGUGCCAGCAGCCGCGGUAAUACGGAGGGUGCAAGCGUUAUCCGGAUUCACUGGGUUUAAAGGGUGCGUAGGUGGGCAGAUAAGUCAGUGGUGAAAUCUUCCGGCUUAACCGGAAAAUUGCCGUUGAUACUAUUUGUCUUGAAUAUUGUGGAGGUAAGCGGAAUAUGUCAUGUAGCGGUGAAAUGCUUAGAUAUGACAUAGAACACCAA
rnacentral:rRNA from 1 species